rnacentral:rRNA from 1 species
UAGCACAGAGAGCUUGCUCUCGGGUGACGAGCGGCGGACGGGUGAGUAAUGUCUGGGAAACUGCCUGAUGGAGGGGGAUAACUACUGGAAACGGUAGCUAAUACCGCAUAACGUCGCAAGACCAAAGUGGGGGACCUUCGGGCCUCAUGCCAUCAGAUGUGCCCAGAUGGGAUUAGCUAGUAGGUGGGGUAACGGCUCACCUAGGCGACGAUCCCUAGCUGGUCUGAGAGGAUGACCAGCCACACUGGAACUGAGACACGGUCCAGACUCCUACGGGAGGCAGCAGUGGGGAAUAUUGCACAAUGGGCGCAAGCCUGAUGCAGCCAUGCCGCGUGUGUGAAGAAGGCCUUCGGGUUGUAAAGCACUUUCAGCGGGGAGGAAGGCGGUGAGGUUAAUAACCUUGUCGAUUGACGUUACCCGCAGAAGAAGCACCGGCUAACUCCGUGCCAGCAGCCGCGGUAAUACGGAGGGUGCAAGCGUUAAUCGGAAUUACUGGGCGUAAAGCGCACGCAGGCGGUCUGUCAAGUCGGAUGUGAAAUCCCCGGGCUCAACCUGGGAACUGCAUUCGAAACUGGCAGGCUAGAGUCUUGUAGAGGGGGGUAGAAUUCCAGGUGUAGCGGUGAAAUGCGUAGAGAUCUGGAGGAAUACC